GUCACCACGGUCGGUGCUAUAUAAACGGCCAGCGUCUCGUCAAAAUUGAGCACUGACACUCGACGGAUGUACCCGCGCGGAUCACCGGAGCCACUUCAACGAGGACGUACACACGCGACCGUCGUAUAUGCCGUAUAUUCACGAACGGAUUAUUACAGCUGCGGACGGAGUACACUAUAAUAUAUAGUAUAUGCCGCAAGACGACGACAACGGCAGAGACGACGACCGUGACGUGACGACGACACAUUCGCGUACAUGUGAUGCCAAAAGAAUUGACAAUAUAUUGUCUGCGUGCAAACCUAUUAUAUAGUCUAUUAAUUAAACACAAUAAUUAUUAAAUCAAUAAAAUAUGAUAAACAUAUACCGAAACGUAAUGGAUAUUCAGAGUUACUCACUCAAUUUGGAUGUGAUGUUCAAAUUGGCGCCACCACAACCUCCUUGAGUGAGCGACUCGGGGAUCUACAUGCUCGUCGCCGACUGCAGCAGCAUGUAAUACGCACGUGGAUUAUGUUGCUUGUCAGGAUAACAAAUUACAUGAUAUUAUUUUGACAUCGUUUAAACUACGCGGCAUAGGUAUGAUUUUUGGGAUAACAUUUAAAUAUAACGUGUGUUUUAAAUAAUAUAAUAUGAUGUUAGUAUAAUAAUUACUUGUACUGUACCACAAUGUACCUACCACCAAUAAAUAUGUUAUGUCGCGUAUUAUUAGGUACAUGAGUGCAUUUAUAAUAGUAUAUAAUAUUAUUGUGUUAAUGUCAUGUGAUUAAAUAUUUUUACUUUAUUCUCGUUUUAAUGGAUUUUAUGAGAUUUUUUUUUUAUUGAUAUUGCGUUAUUGUCUUAUAUGUAGAAAAUGUAUUAUUAUCAUAUAUUGAUAUAUUGUGUUUACAUGUGUUAUUAUCAGAUUCUAUUAUACAUUUUAGUACUUUUUUUACACAUAUAUUAAUGUGAAUCACCACCACUCAUCAAACAAGUUUUAAAAGAAACUUAGUAAUAAGUCAAUUAUAUUUUAAUUAAUGUUUUUCGUGAAUAUUAAACAAGUAUAAAGUACAUUUUACAAUUAUUGUUACUAUUUAAUUUUACUAUGAUAAUAAUGUAAUAUUAAAUUGUAUAAAGUUCCAAGCACUAAUCAAAAAAUGUAUAUUUUCCAUGUGUUUCUUCUCUCAGUAAGUUAGGAAACCCCUAUUUAUUUAGUGAUUGUAUGGACAAACGAUGAACAUGUGGACUCGUUGAAUCGUAUAUUUGUAUCUGUAUAACAAUAACACCUCAAUAUUAUUUCCCAGAAUAUUAUUCAUAUUUAUAUUUUAUCUUUGUGUUUUGAGUUUUCUAAUAUUGUUUAAUAUCUUGUUUAUUAUAUAUAUACACAUAUACA